GAGUUUGAUCGUGGCUCAGAGCGAACGCUGGCGGCAGGCUUAACACAUGCAAGUCGAGCGCCCCGCAAGGGGAGCGGCAGACGGGAGAGUAACGCGUGGAUAUCUGCCUUUUGGUUCGGAAUAACCCCGGGAAACUGGGGCUAAUACCGGAUGGUUCCUUCGGGAUAAAGAUUUAUCGCCAAAAGAUGAGUCCGCGUACGAUUAGCUAGUUGGUGAGGUAAUGGCUCACCAAGGCGACGAUCGUUAGCUGGUCUGAGAGGACGAUCAGCCACACUGGGACUGAGACACGGCCCAGACUCCUACGGGAGGCAGCAGUGGGGAAUAUUGGACAAUGGGGGCAACCCUGAUCCAGCCAUGCCGCGUGAGUGAUGAAGGCCUUCGGGUUGU
rnacentral:rRNA from 1 species